rnacentral:rRNA from 1 species
AGAGUUUGAUCCUGGCUCAGGACGAACGCUGGCGGCGUGCCUAACACAUGCAAGUCGAACGGAGAAUUUUAUUUCGGUAGAAUUCUUAGUGGCGAACGGGUGAGUAACGCGUAGGCAACCUGCCCUUUAGACGGGGACAACAUUCCGAAAGGAGUGCUAAUACCGGAUGUGAUCAUCGUGCCGCAUGGCAGGAUGAAGAAAGAUGGCCUCUACAAGUAAGCUAUCGCUAAAGGAUGGGCCUGCGUCUGAUUAGCUAGUUGGUAGUGUAACGGACUACCAAGGCGAUGAUCAGUAGCCGGUCUGAGAGGAUGAACGGCCACAUUGGGACUGAGACACGGCCCAAACUCCUACGGGAGGCAGCAGUGGGGAAUCUUCCGCAAUGGACGAAAGUCUGACGGAGCAACGCCGCGUGAGUGAUGAAGGAUUUCGGUCUGUAAAGCUCUGUUGUUUAUGACGAACGUGCAGUGUGUGAACAAUGCAUUGCAAUGACGGUAGUAAACGAGGAAGCCACGGCUAACUACGUGCCAGCAGCCGCGGUAAUACGUAGGUGGCGAGCGUUGUCCGGAAUUAUUGGGCGUAAAGAGCAUGUAGGCGGCUUAAUAAGUCGAGCGUGAAAAUGCGGGGCUCAACCCCGUAUGGCGCUGGAAACUGUUAGGCUUGAGUGCAGGAGAGGAAAGGGGAAUUCCCAGUGUAGCGGUGAAAUGCGUAGAUAUUGGGAGGAACACCAGUGGCGAAGGCGCCUUUCUGGACUGUGUCUGACGCUGAGAUGCGAAAGCCAGGGUAGCGAACGGGAUUAGAUACCCCGGUAGUCCUGGCCGUAAACGAUGGGUACUAGGUGUAGGAGGUAUCGACUCCUUCUGUGCCGGAGUUAACGCAAUAAGUACCCCGCCUGGGGAGUACGGCCGCAAGGUUGAAACUCAAAGGAAUUGACGGGGGCCCGCACAAGCAGUGGAGUAU